rnacentral:rRNA from 1 species
GGCCAGACUCCUACGGGAGGCAGCAGUGGGGAAUAUUGCACAAUGGGGGGAACCCUGAUGCAGCGACGCCGCGUGAGUGAAGAAGUAUUUCGGUAUGUAAAGCUCUAUCAGCAGGGAAGAAAAUGACGGUACCUGACUAAGAAGCCCCGGCUAACUACGUGCCAGCAGCCGCGGUAAUACGUAGGGGGCAAGCGUUAUCCGGAUUUACUGGGUGUAAAGGGAGCGCAGACGGCUGUGCAAGUCUGGAGUGAAAGGCGGGGGCCCAACCCCCGGACUGCUCUGGAAACUGUAAAGCUGGAGUGCAGGAGAGGUAAGCGGAAUUCCUAGUGUAGCGGUGAAAUGCGUAGAUAUUAGGAGGAACACCAGUGGCGAAGGCGGCUUACUGGACUGCAACUGACGUUGAGGCUCGAAAGCGUGGGGAGCAAACAGGAUUAGAUACCCGAGUACC